GUAGGUGGCAAGCGUUGUCCGGAAUUAUUGGGCGUAAAGCGCGCGCAGGUGGUUCUUUAAGUCUGAUGUGAAAGCCCCCGGCUCAACCGGGGAGGGUCAUUGGAAACUGGGGAACUUGAGUGCAGGAGAGGAAAGUGGAAUUCCACGUGUAGCGGUGAAAUGCGUAGAUAUGUGGAGGAACACCAGUGGCGAAGGCGACUUUCUGGCCUGUAACUGACACUGAGGCGCGAAAGCGUGGGGAGCAAACAGGGAUUAGAUACCCUGUUAGUCCACGCCGUAAACGAUGAGUGCUAAGUGUUGGGGGGGUUUCCCGCCCCGUCAGUGCUGCAGCUAACGCAUUAAGCACUCCGCCUGGGGAGUACGGUCGCAAGACUG
rnacentral:rRNA from 1 species